rnacentral:sRNA from 1 species
UAUUGAACAACGCAUUUAUUCACAUUCUCGAAAAUCACAAAUCCGAUCCGGAGGCGCGCGGAUCUUCCGCAGUCGCCCAGGACGUCAUCGACAAUUUUCGAACAGAAUGGAGAGGAGACACCAGCGCACAAUCUUGGGUGCGGCGCUUUCCUUGUCCCCUCCGGGGGGCCAAGGUGGGAAGGGUCGCAAUGAUUGAACGUACAG